rnacentral:rRNA from 1 species
CCUACGGGAGGCAGCAGUGAGGAAUAUUGGUCCAUGGACGAGAGUCUGAACCAGCCAAGUAGCGUGAAGGAUGACUGCCCUAUGGGUUGUAAACUUCUUUUAUAAAGGAAUAAAACGAGGCACGUGUGCCUUUUUGCAUGUACUUUAUGAAUAAGGAUCGGCUAACUCCGUGCCAGCAGCCGCGGUAAUACGGAGGAUCCGAGCGUUAUCCGGAUUUAUUGGGUUUAAAGGGAGCGUAGAUGGGUUGUUAAGUCAGUUGUGAAAGUUUGCGGCGCAACCGUAAAAUUGCAAUUGAUACUGGCAGUCGUGAGUACAGUUGAGGUAAGCGGAAUUCGUGGUGUAGCGGUGAAAUGCUUAGAUAUCACGAAGAACCCCGAUUGCGAAGGCAGCUUACUAAACUGUGACUGACAUUGAUGCUCGAAAGUGUGGGUAUCAAACAGGAUUAGAUACCCGAGUAGUC